CCUACGGGGGGCAGCAGUCGAGAAUCUUUCACAAUGGGCGAAACCCUGAUGGUGCGACGCCGCGUGGGGGAAUGAAGGUCUUCGGAUUGUAAACCCCUGUUAUGUGGGAGCAAAUUAAAAAGAUAGUACCACAAGAGGAAGAGCCGGCUAACUCUGUGCCAGCAGCCGCGGUAAUACAGAGGUCUCAAGGGUUGUUCGGAAUCACUGGGCGUAAAGCGUGCGUAGGCUGUUUCGUAAGUCGUGUGUGAAAGGCGCGGGCUCAACCCGCGGACGGCCCAUGAUACUGCGAGACUAGAGUGAUGGAGGGGGAACCGGAAUUCUCGGUGUAGCAGUGAAAUGCGUAGAUAUCGAGAAGAACACUCGUGGCGAAGGCGGGUUCCUGGACAUUAACUGACGCUGAGGCACGAAGGCCAGGGGAGCGAAAGGGAUUAGAUACCCCAGUAGUC
rnacentral:rRNA from 1 species